CGCGGCAGCAGGGUUGGGCUCUGGCCGGGAGUCGACCGAGGGAGAGAGGGUCGGGAGCGCGCGCGCGCGCUCACUCCCCUCGCGCCCGGACUGUCUACCGCGGCAGGUCUUUUUCUUGCCUCCCGCCUCCCGGCACCGUCUCGUUCAGCCCCCUUAGCUCUUCCAACCGCCUCCCUCGCCGGCCCUCAGCUCUGUUAUUAGGUACAAAGACAUUUAUGACUUGUGAUUGUGCUGUGACUUUUGAUGAAUUGAACCAUUUAUCACUAUGAGAUGACAGUCUUCAUCCCAGGUAAUACUCUUUGUUCUGAAAUCUCCCUUGUCUGAUGUUAAUAUAGCUCUCUGUUGAUUGGUGUUAGCAUGGUAUCUUUUUUUCAAUCUUCAAACUUUUAACAUAUUUGUGCCAUUUUGUUUGGGGUGUCUUGCUUAUAGGCAAUGUAUAAUUGAGUUUUGCUUUUUUAUUCAAUCUAUGCCUUUUAAUUGUUAAAUUUAGACCAUGUAUAUUUAAUGUGAUAUGUGAUGUGAUUAGGUUUAAGUGCUAUUUAUUUUCUAUUUGUCCCAUCCUCUCUGUUCCUUUUUUCUCUUUUCUUCUUCUAUUUUGGAUCACUUGAACAUUUUUUACAAUUCCAUUUUGUGUCUGUCAUUGGCUUAUCAGCUAUAACUUUGUUAUUUUAGUUGUGUGUGUGUGUGUGUGUGUGUGUGUGUGUGUGUAGUUUAUCACAGUCUCCAUCCAAAUAAUUUUAUAUUAUGUCAUAUAUGUAACAGUCUUGCAAUAGUAUAUUUCUAUUUCCCCUCUUUCAACCUUCUUCACCAUUAUUGCCACACAUUUAACCUCUACAGAUGUUACAAACCCCACAUUAGUUUAUUAUUUUUGUUAAGACAAUUAUCUUUUAAAGAGUUUUUUUUUUAAUUAGGGGCAAAUUUUAUUUAUGUAGCCAUUAACAUCUUCAUUCCUUUGUGUCGAUUCCCAUUUUCAUCUGAUAUCAUUAUCUUCUAUGUAAAGAAUUUUCGUUAACAUUUCUUGCAGUGCACUCUGCUGGUAAUGAAUUCUUUUAACUUCUGUAUGUCUGAAAAACUAUUUACCUUUAAAAAAAAUUAUAAUGCCAGAUUUUAUUGCUAAGAAACUGAAUGAGGUGUCCAAUUGAGUUGAAAACUUGUGUCCACACAAAACCCUGCACAUGAAUGUUUUAGCAGCUUUACUCAGAAUUGCUAAAACGUGGGAGCAACCAAGAUGUCUUUCAGUAGUGAAUAAACUUUAGUACAUUCAUACA
rnacentral:lncRNA from 1 species